rnacentral:rRNA from 1 species
CCGGAAGGAUGCUGGCCAACAACCCCCAACUUUUUUAAGGUUGACCUCGGAUCAGGUAGGGAUACCCGCUGAACUUAAGCAUAUCAAUAAGCGGAGGAAAAGAAACCAACAGGGAUUACCUCAGUAACGGCGAGUGAAGCGGUAACAGCUCAAAUUUGAAAUCUGGCUCUUUCAGGGUCCGAGUUGUAAUUUGUAGAAGAUGCUUCGGGUGUGGCUCCGGUCUAAGUUCCUUGGAACAGGACGUCAUAGAGGGUGAGAAUCCCGUAUGUGACUGGCUGCCUUCGCCCAUGUGAAGCUCUUUCGACGAGUCGAGUUGUUUGGGAAUGCAGCUCUAAAUGGGUGGUAUAUUUCAUCUAAAGCUAAAUAUUGGCCAGAGACCGAUAGCGCACAAGUAGAGUGAUCGAAAGAUGAAAAGCACUUUGGAAAGAGAGUUAAACAGUACGUGAAAUUGUUGAAAGGGAAGCGCUUGCAACCAGACUUGCACGCCGUCGAUCAUCCUGGGUUCUCCCUGGUGCACUCGGCGGCGUUCAGGCCAGCAUCGGUUUUGGUGGUUGGAUAAAGGCCUUGGGAAUGUGGCUCCUCUCGGGGAGUGUUAUAGCCCUCGGUGCAAUGCAGCCUACCGGGACCGAGGACCGCGCUCGGCUA